AGUGAACGCUGGCGGUAGGCCUAACACAUGCAAGUCGAACGGCAGCACAGUAAGAGCUUGCUCUUACGGGUGGCGAGUGGCGGACGGGUGAGGAAUACAUCGGAAUCUACUUUUUCGUGGGGGAUAACGUAGGGACACUUACGCUAAUACCGCAUACGACCUACGGGUGAAAGCAGGGGAUCUUCGGACCUUGCGCGAUUGAAUGAGCCGAUGUCGGCGUGGCUAGUUGGCGGGGUAACGGCCCACCAAGGCGACGAUCCGUAGCUGGGCUGAGAGGAUGAUCAGCCACACUGGAACUGAGACACGGUCCAGACUCCUACGGGAGGCAGCAGUGGGGAAGAUUGGACAAUGGGCGCAAGCCUGAUCCAGCCAUACCGCGUGGGUGAAGAAGGCCUUCGGGUUGUAAAGCCCUUUUGUUGGGAAAGAAAAGCAGCAGGUUAAUACCCCGCUGUUCUGACGGUACCCAAAGAAUAAGCACCGGCGAACUUCGU
rnacentral:rRNA from 1 species